rnacentral:rRNA from 1 species
UUUUGGUUCUAUUUUGUUGGUUUCUAGGACCAAGGUAAUGAUUAAUAGGGACAGUUGGGGGCAUUAAUACUUCCGAACGAGAGGUGAAAUUCUUAGAUCUCGGAAAGAUUAACUACUGCGAAAGCAUUUGUCAAGGAUGUUUUCAUUAAUCAAGAACGAAAGUUAGGGGAUCGAAAACGAUUAGAUACCGUUGUAGUCUUAACCAUAAACUAUGCCGACUCGGGAUCGGUCAGAGUUAAAAAUGUUCUGAUCGGCACCGUAUGAGAAAUCAAAGUUUUUGGGUUCUGGGGGGAGUACGGUCGCAAGGCUGAAACUUAAAGGAAUUGACGGAAGGGCACCACCAGGAGUGGAGCCUGCGGCUUAAUUUGACUCAACACGGGAAACUCACCA